ACGUACUGCAUGCAUUUACACGGCAAACAAAGCUGCCAUUGCGAUUAUUACAAGAAACACAGUAUUUUACCACUUUUACCACGUCUGAAGUUAGUUUUGGACGUCAAAUUCAUCAACGCCAACUGUACUGCUGGAUAACUGAAACUAAAGCCAAGAUUGAAUAAACACAGUUACAUUGGUUCUUCGGAGGCCAGCUCAGUUGAUUGUUGUACUUAUACAAUCCCAAGAGGAAUUUGCCAUCCGUAAUAGUUCCUUUUCGUCAACAAGCCACCUGACUUAACAAAGCUUUAAUGAAACUUCCAUUUAAAAGUUGUAAACAACGGGUCUCCUGGAGGAUACAAGCACUUGGGCUGGUACCAACCUACACCAUGGACGAGAAGAGGUUUCAUAUUCAACAAGACGGAUUUUCCAUUUCUUU